GGAGAGAAUAAGAAAAAUAAUUUUCGUAAUUUUAGUAAUUUUUAAUGAAAAUAAAGUAAAGACUAAAGAGAAAAGUACUGUGAAGGAAAGUUGUUAAAACUUUUUAUAGAAGAAGUAAAAUUUUGUGCCUCGUGUAUCAGAAAAAGUUUAUAUAGUUUAGUUACAAUAAGUAUCUCGAAAUAAAAUACAGUAAUUUUUAUAAAAUUUUCUUUUUAGAAAAAAAGAAUUUAAUAUAAAAUUUAAAGUGAAAUGCUAGCUGAGUUUUAUGAUAUCUAGUUUUUUUAAAAAUAAAUUUAAUUUAAUUUUUAUAAAGAAAAAGUUAUAAAAUUAAAUGGUAGGGGGGAUUAGCUCUUUACGGAAAAGAUAAUGAAAUAGUUAAAUAAAAGUAAAUUAUAUAAAUUAGGCUUAGAAGUAGCUAUAUUAAAAAAGUGUUUUAACUAAAUUAUAAUUGCUUGAAUAUUUAAAAUAAAACUUUUCUUAGGUAUAAAAAAAUGGCUUAAACAAAACAAAACAAGAUAUGAUGAUUUUAUUAGUAAAAUUUAUUGAGUAAAUAAAGAUAUUAAAAGGUAAAAAUUGUUUAAAAAAAUAAGUA
rnacentral:rRNA from 1 species